rnacentral:rRNA from 1 species
CGAGGGCAGCAGUAGGGAAUUUUCGUCAAUGGGGGCAACCCUGAACGAGCAAUGCCGCGUGAGCGAAGAAGGUCUUCGGAUUGUAAAGCUCUGUUGCCGGGGAAAAAGGAAGGAAAAGAGGAAAUGCUUUUCUUUGGAUGGUACCCGGCCAGAAAGUCACGGCUAACUACGUGCC